CUUGAGAUUUGAUUCUUCUGCUUCUUGGGGCUUUCCCUACUCUAGCCCCGCCCAGGCCACAAGGUCAUGUGGAAUGAACUGGUCACUUGGUCACUGUGGGGCACACAGUGCAAUACAGCAUCUCAGCCUGUCUUCACUUCUCAGUCUGGCCGGCCUCAAACGUGUGAGGUGGGCGUGUUUUCUGCACCUUCCAGCGAGGCAGUUCUCCCGUCCUCAACACGCCUGGGGGGAAACGGCGACGGCUUUCAGUCGGGGACAGCCAAGGAUGAUCCCGCGCGGGCCGCCCGGACUCAGACGUGCACCGCAAGGGUGGUGCUGCGGUGUCCAGGAAGCUUCCUCCUGCAUUAGGAGGUCUAUACAUGCCGUUAUCUCUGCUGGACUCUCCUCCCGUCUCUUCAUCUAGCUGGAACUCACAUCACAGCUGCCCUAUUUACUUACCUACUGGCUGCAUUCCUUAGAACCAGUUUUUUUUCCUGUUCAAAUGGAAACCAGGCAGAAUUGGGAAAAUAUUUCAUCAGCCAGCUCCUCAGCACUCCUGUCUGAGGGAGACCAUCUGACCCAGAUGCCCUUUAAACCAGGAAGUCUUCAUAAACUGGCCUCUGAGAACUGCAGAUAGAGCAACCCUUUCCUCUUCCAGUUGGGUUGGCAGAAUCUUCAAGAACCACCUCCCUUCCCCAGGGUGGUGUCUAAUGUGCCUGGAUCUGAUUCUCAACAUGGCCUGUUUGCAGAAGAAACCUCCUCCGAGACCUCAGCCACCCUACCUGGUCUUGGUGGAUGGGACCCUCAGAUAGUGGAAUGCAUCAUGGCCAAGUGGAGGUGUCGAGAGUCCCCUUGUGCCGUCUGGAUUGGAAUAAGACACUGCUAAGAAACCCUUCCAAAGAAUUGGGGAGUGUCCCUGAGCACCUCCCACUCCCAAAGGAGAGUGCAUGUGUUCCCUGGUUCCCCAAGCCUAGCAGGGCAGCCCGCCCGUCAUCCAGAGAACUGUGGGAUCCUAUCUGCUUCAAGGACUCUUUCCAAAAUGAUCUCCCAAGCAGCUCAUGCCUGCACUUGGAGUAGUGACAACUACAUCUCUCACACCCCACUCAUCUUGUUCUCUUCUUGUCCCUUCCCCCCAAGUAUAGCAUCCUAUACUAGCAUUUCCUAGUAUGUAAAUAGCUUAUAAUCAGGGCUUGGUUUACCUAAUAUGUUCUUAGAGUAAUAAAGGUAAGUGUCAUGUGUAUAAGAGUCACACCCAAGCCCCCCCCCUGCUUUUCUCUCCCCCCACACCGCCCCAGGGUCAUCCCAGCCACUCCCAUGACUUCAGCUACCACCUAUCUGCAGAUGACCCAGUCUCUGUGUCCAGCCUACGCUUCUCACUAAACCCCACCCCUAACCACCCAUCUGCCUAAGCACCCACCUUCCACUUGGAGGUCAAAUUUGAAACAACUCAAAUUCAAGUUCUCCAGAAGUGGACUCCUUAAUUUCUUCCAUAAACCUGAGGCUCCUUUGUGUUCCAUAUUCUGAUGCGUCACAUUUGACAGUGGUUUUUGGUCCAUGUAUGUCAGAGGACGGAUGGGUGGGGGGGAAAGGGUGUGUCUAUGAACCUCUUGAAAUUUUAUGCAAGAUUUUGUGUGUACAUGUGUUUUCUUCCUGCAAUAAGAGAUGGCAGGUUUUUCAGAACCUGACUGUGACCCCUGAACUAGAGAGUCAAGCCCCCGUCUGUUUCUCUGGCUUCAUCUCUUGGCAGUCCCGCUUUGAGCCCCAAGCCCCACAUCUCCUGAACCUAUGCUCGCGGGCAGUGACUGACUCUUGGAGUUCCUGGAAAAUGCCAUCAGUUUAACGUAUGCUGGUUCUUCUACUGAAGUGUGUUCCCACCCUCUUUGUCUGCAACCUUCAGGCAGCACCUCCUCUGGGAAGCCUCCCUUGCCUGACCCAGGCAGAGCUGAUCAGCCCGUCCCUAGUGCCCCACCUCCAUAUGGCAUCCAUCAUACUGUAGGACAGCCUCUUGCACCCUGCGUGUGCCUCAGAAUCUCCUGCACAUCUUUUAAUAAAAUGCAGAUGCUCCAGCCUUGCUUACUCCCCAGUGAAUCAAAACUGUGAAGGAGAGAGGCCCCCAGGGGACUCUGAGGCACACGCUGCAUGCUAAACCACAGUUGUAGGGCCUUUUUUGGGUCCAUAUUACUUGGAUGCACCAGACUAUGAAAUCCUUGAGAGCAGGGAUCUUGUCUCAGCCACUUCCCCAAUCCCCGUGGCACUUAGAACAGUGACAGUGCACAGUAGAAUGAGCCAAUCUCAACACUGGCCUACUGGGUGCCAGGUACCAUUCUAGGGAUUUCCAUGUACUGCCAUUCAGCACCUACAAUUUUCCCAUGAGUUACAUCAUUGAUCCCCUUUAGAGAUGAAGAAAUAUUUGUGAAUGAGUGAACAAGUGAAUCAUACUUUCUAGAAAGCUGAUUGGUUUAGAGAAAUCUGAAUAUGAUUUAUUUCAUAAACAUGACUUUUUACAGGGGCAAGAAAUGUCUCACUCUGUUCUGAUCAUGUCCGGGAGGGGAGAAAGAGAGAAUCCGGGAAGAGAUGUGAUGAUUUUCUGGAAAAGAGAACUACUCGGGUGGUGGUAGAACCAGACCAGGGCUGCCAAAAACUCACCCAAGAAGCCCCAACACAGCCCAGGCUGAGUCUGCCUCUUCCCAAACAUGAGGGGCUUGGUACAGGGCAGACUAAGACGGCCAUCAGGGGAGGGAGGGCAGCAUUCCUGUCUCCUGCCUCCUCCUUUUCAUGGCCGUUAGCCCCAAGGCCCAGUCUCUAGCUGCCAUUUGCUCCCUUGGGAGUAUAGUUUAAAUCAUGAAGUUUAAAUCAGAGGCAGGCCUCUGUGUCCAUUCACAGCCACCUGCAAGCUGAACAAGGCCUUUGAGAUCACAGAAUUCUGCUCCUUACCACGGAAGUGAUGGGAGGACCACUCCCAGCCAGAAAGGGCAAGUAGGAUUCAGAAAACAACGCAGAAGGGUGGCUGGCAGGACCUCAGUCACACCACAACCAUGGCACUGGGGCGACCCAACCCUGUUCUCAUCCCGUUUUUCAAGGUCCUGCUCUUCAGGGACCACCUUAACCCUAACCCUCCAGAAGCCUUCCCAGAAAUUGCACACUGUGUCCUCUCUCAGGCAUCCACUCCCAACUCAACCCCAGGGCUUUCCCUCAUAACACUUCUCUCUUCCCAGGCUGCUAGUCCCAGUUUCCCCAGGGAGCCAUGAGCCCCUCAGACAUCACAGACCUCCCAUAGGAGCUAGCACCCCACUGGGAGCUCAAGAGUAAACAGCCUGACUAUUCUGCUUACCAACAAGUCUUAAAAAAUUAAAACCCUUCCAGUAAAAUAACAUCCAGUUAUUUGAGUGAACAAUUUGCCCUUACAUUUUAACGUAGAUUUUAGAGUUGUCCCAGCACAGUUUUUUAGAGAUGUAACACAACAAGAGUUUAAAAUGGUCUUGAAUUCUAGACCUAGAUCCCUUGGGUUCAAAUUCCAGCUUUGCAACUUAUUAGCUGUAAAUUCACAGGCAAUGUCCUUAACCUUGCUGUACCUCAGUUUCCUCAUCCCUAAAAUGGGUAUAAAAAUAGCACCUGGUCAUAGGGCUGGUGUGAGGAGUGGAUGAGUUAAUGUAAAGCACUUAGGACACUGUCUGCCAAGCAGGAGCUCAUAAUGUGAUCCUCUCAUUAAUUAAAUUGAUGUGAUUCUCCCAUGACCUCUUGUGAUUCUCACAACACUAGAAAGUAGGUAAAGAUCUCUCCUCUUCACAGAAGAGGAGACCAGUCUCAGAGAAGUUAUGUUACUUGCCUCCGACAACACAGCUAAUACAUGAGCACAUGGUUACUCAAAGCCAGGAUUCUGAUGUCCACAGACAUGGCAUAAAAAAGCCCUCAACUCUGGCAUCC